rnacentral:tRNA from 1 species
GGGAAUGUGGCUUAGUGGUAGAGUACUUGCCUAGCAUGCAGGAAGCCCUGGGUUCGAUUCCUCAGAACCA